ACAAUGUUUUGUAUUCAUUAAUAUCUUAUAUUAUUUAUUUAUUUUAUUAUACAUAAGUAUAUAACGAUGGGAAAUAUACAAUAUAUUCAAUGUCGCACCACUGAUUAUUUCGUUCAUGUAGCAAAUAGAGAGCGUCACGUGUCUGACAUAAGGAAUAGCAAGUAUGCAUAUGUUUGUCAAAAUCUAUUUAUAUACCUUGAAAACUUCGUUAUCGUGAGUGCACGUAAUGCAUUUCGUUAAAAUCGAAUUGGGUACGAAACUCACUUCCUUGGUUAAUCUAUAAAUGUGUGUGCUUACAUAAUCUUUUUCCAUACAAUAAUGGCAUUACCAGAAGGACUUGCAAGUAGCAUGAAGAAAUUUCAAGCACAUAAUGAUCUACCGGUCUUUUUAAAAGGAGGUCCAGUAGAUAAGGUAUUAUUUGGUUUGACUGUAGGGCUCUGCGGCUUAGGAAUUAUUGGUAUGUUACAAAUGGUUUAUACACUGGGCUUUAAAAAGAAAUCGGCUUAAAUUAAUUACGACGCUUUCAAAUAAAUGGAAGAUGUGGAAAAAUAUUAACAAAAUAAAUAUGAAGAACUAAUAUUAAAUCAUUAAA